UACGUAGGGUGCAAGCGUUGUCCGGAAUUAUUGGGCGUAAAGAGCUCGUAGGCGGUCUGUCGCGUCGGCUGUGAAAACCUGGGGCUCAACCCCAGGCCUGCAGUCGAUACGGGCAGACUAGAGUCCGGCAGGGGAGACUGGAAUUCCUGGUGUAGCGGUGAAAUGCGCAGAUAUCAGGAGGAACACCGGUGGCGAAGGCGGGUCUCUGGGACGGUACUGGACGCU
rnacentral:rRNA from 1 species